rnacentral:rRNA from 1 species
AUUGAACGCUGGCGGCAGGCCUAACACAUGCAAGUCGAACGAGUGGCGGACGGGUGAGUAAUGUCUGGGAAACUGCCUGAUGGAGGGGGAUAAAUACUGGAAACGGUAGCUAAUACCGCAUACCAUCGGAUGUGCCCAGAUGGGAUUAGCUAGUAGGUGGGGUAAAGGCUCACCUAGGCGACGAUCCCUAGCUGGUAUGAGAGGAUGACCAGCCAAACUGGAACUGGGACACGGUCCAACCGCCUCCGGGAGGCAGCAGGGGGGAAUAUUGCACAAUGGGCGAAAGCCUGCUGCAGCCAGGCCGCGUGUAUGAAUAAGGCCUUCGGGUUGUAAAGUACUUUCAGCGGGGAGGCGGUACCCGCAGAAGAAGCACCGGCUAACUCCGUGCCAGCAGCCGCGGUAAUUC